rnacentral:rRNA from 1 species
UCAAGCUGUAAAGGGCGCAAGGGGAAUGCCUUGGCACUGAGAGCCGACGAAGGACGCGACAAGCUGCGAUAAGCUACGGGGAGCCGCAAAUGGGCUUUGAUCCGUGGAUUUCCGAAUGGGGAAACCCGAUGGAGCAAUACUCCAUCAACCAUGACUGAAUACAUAGGUCAUGGUGGGGAACCGCCUGAACUGAAACAUCUAAGUAGGGCGAGGAAGAGAAAUCAACCGAGAUUCCGUAAGUAGUGGCGAGCGAACGCGGAAGAGGCCAAACCGAGAGAAGAAAUUCUUUCGGGGUUCGGACUGCAUUUAGUAUUCUUGAUCUUUAGUCGAACAGUCUGGGAAGGCUGACAAGAGAGUGUGAUAGUCACGUAGACGAAAAGGAGAAAGAGCGAGCAGUAUCCAGAGUACCGCGGGGCACGUGAAAUCCCGUGGGAAGAUGGGGGGACCACCCUCCAAGCCUAAAUACUACCCAAUGACCGAUAGCGUAAAGUACUGUGAAGGAACGGUGAAAAGAACCCCGGGAGGGGAGUGAAAAGAACCUGAAACUCUGUGCUUACAAGCACAUAGAGCACGUCAAUGUGUGAUAUGGUACCUUUUGUAGAAUGGUCCGGCGAGUUAUGGUAUGCAGCGUGGUUAAGGACUUCAGGUCUGAAGCCGAAGCGAGAGCGAGUCUGACAAGGGCGAAAAGUUGUAUGCCAUAGACCCGAAACCGGGUGACCUAGCCAUGUCCAGGCUGAAGUGGAGGUAAAACUCCAUGGAGGGCCGAACCGACCUCCGUUGAAAAGGCGGCGGAUGAGAUGUGGCUAGCGGAGAAAUUCCAAUCGAACCCGGAUAUAGCUGGUUCUCCCCGAAAUAGCUUUAGGGCUAGCGUUGUAUUAGAUUACCGGAGGUAAAGCACUGAAUGGGCUAGGGGCUGAGAAGUUACUGAACCCUAUCAAACUAAGAAUGCCGGAUAAUUGAUGUACAGCAGUCAGACUAUGUGAGAUAAGUCUCAUAGUCAAAAGGGAAACAGCCCAGACCCACAGCUAAGGUCCCAAAAUGGAUUUAAGUGGAAAAGGAUGUGGAAUUGCACAGACAACCAGGAUGUUGGCUUAGAAGCAGCCACUCAUUAAAAGAGUGCGUAAUAGCUCACUGGUCGAGUGACUCUGCGCCGAAAAUUUAACGGGGCUAAACUAUACACCGAAGCUUGGGAUACAUCUAAUGUAUGGUAGGAGAGCGUUCUGUAUGGAGAGAAGUCGUAGCGAAAGCGGCGGUGGACUAUACAGAAGUGAGAAUGCCGGAAUAAGUAGCGAGAAUUAAGUGAGAAUCUUAAUGGCCGAAAGUCUAAGGUUUUUGGAGGAAGGUUCGUCCGCUCCAAGUAAGUCGGGAGCUAAGGUCAGGCCGAAAGGCGUAGCCGAUGCACAUACGGUUGAUAUUCCGUAACCAUCUGUAAUUUAAGCAAAGGGACACUUCAAAAGGGUGUGACCCGGGCGUUGGUUGACCCGGGCGUAAGGGACCGAAAUUAGAGUAGGGAAGCACACUUAGCUGAAGGCGAGAAAAGCUUUGCGUAUAGAAGCAGAUGCCCGUACCGCAAACCGACACAGGUGGACAGGAAGAGAAUUCUAAGGCCAGCGGGAGAAGGGUAGUUAAGGAACUCGGCAAAUUGACUCCGUAACUUCGGAAUAAGGAGUGCUCGAAAGAGCCGCAGAGAAUAGGCCCAGGCGACUGUUUAGCAAAAACACAGGUCUCUGCCAAAUCGAAAGAUGAAGUAUAGGGGCUGACACCUGCCCGGUGCCGGAAGGUUAAGAGGAGGAGUGAGAGCUCCGAAUUGAAGCCCCGGUAAACGGCGGCCGUAACUAUAACGGUCCUAAGGUAGCGAAAUUCCUUGUCAGGUAAG